rnacentral:tRNA from 1 species
UUAAAAAUAAGCUAAAUUUAAUAAGCUUGUGAAUUCAUAUUUCAUUUAUAAAGAUAAACUUUUUUUUAUA